UGAAAGUCUGCCUGAAGGGGGCUGCCUGGAGAGCUAACACAGCUGUAUAUUAUUGUUUUUGUUUGUUUGUUUGUUUGUUUUUUGUUUUUUCUUCUCAAGUUUCAGACAUGACCCUGGACAGAAAAGCAGAAGAUGGUCUUCCAAAACACGAAUCACACUAUACUGAGCAGAUGAAACAUGUUCUGAGAUACAAGAACAAGCCAGG
rnacentral:lncRNA from 1 species